rnacentral:misc_RNA from 1 species
UCUCCGUAGGUGAACCUGCGGAGGGCUCAUUACCGAGUGAGGGUUCCGGCCCGACCUCCAACCCUUUGUUAAUUCGACCCAGUUGCCUCGGGGGCGACCCUGCCGUCCGCGGCUGAGCGCCCCCGGAGGCCAUUAAACACUGCAUCAUUGCGUCGGAGUUAAAGUAAAUUAAACAAAACUUUCAACAACGGAUCUCUUGGUUCCAGCAUCGAUGAAGAACGCAGC